GGUGAACGCUGGCGGCGGGCCUAAUACAUGCAAGUCGAGCGAACAGACAGUGAGCUUUCGCUUCUGAGGGUGGCGGCUGACGGGUGAGUAAGGCGUGGAUAACCUUCUUCUUAUUCGUGGGGAACAUCGUGAGGCCGGUUCUAAUACUGGAGAAUAUAUUGUACGGCAGGAUGCAAGAGUUAAUGACAGUUUUGCUGUCACUUAGAGAUGAAUCCGCGCCGCAUUAGCUACGUGGUAAGGGAACGGCUUACCAAGGCCACGAUGCCUAGCCGACCGGAGAGGGUGAUCCGCCCCACCGGAACUGAGAAACGGGCCCGACUCCCACGGGAGGCAGCCGUAGGGAAUCUUCCGCAAUGGGCGGAAACCCGACGGCGCCCAGCCCCGUGAGUGAUAAAAGUCUUCCGAUCUUGAAACUCUGUUAUUUGGGAAAAAAAAAUGUGUAAGUAACUAUGCACGUCUUGACGGUACCUCAAAAGAAAGCCACGGCUAAAUAUGUG
rnacentral:rRNA from 1 species